AGGGAUUGAGGUGUGGUCAGGCACUAGGGAUGGAGUUGUGGUCAGGUAUUAGGGAUGGAGGUGUGGUCAGGUAUUAGGGAUGGAGGUGUGGUCAGAGGAGAUGUAGUCAUUGUUUGUGUGUCUGUAAGUGAUUGUUUGUAUCUGGAGUAAAACUAUUUUUUAUUUUUUUAAGUUGGUCAGGUUAGUGAAUAAAAAGGCAGGAUGUGGACAAAUCUCUUAGGAAGCAACAGUGAUAUGGCCUUCAUCAAAUAUGCAGACGACAUGGCUCUCGUUGCUUGCCUGAAGGUCAAGUCCAUCUCCAGCUAUUCCCAGUUCAUUGACUGCCUCUUGACGCGGUUUGACAAUAGCUUCCUUGACCUUCAUGUCGCCAAGACUAAAAAACUGUACCUUGGUGGAAAGAACGCUGGGAAAUGGAAGCCCUUCUCUCGAGCCUGUCACCAUGGAAGGACGUGGAGCAAGUCACACACAUUAAAUACUUGGGGACAAUUUUCGACCACAAACUUAGCUUCCAGUAAAACACUGACCUCCUCUACAAAAAGUCAAGGCAGCUUAUUUCCCUACUUAAGAAACAAUUCAGUUUUAAUGCAAGCAAAC
ensembl:lncRNA